ensembl:rRNA 5S_rRNA 5S ribosomal RNA
CAUUAUGGCCAUAUCACCCUGCAGCCCAAGACUGGUUGCCCACUAAAGCUAAGCAGGGUUGAGCCUGGUUAGUACCUGGAUGGGAGAACUCUUGGGAAAACUAGGUUGCUGUUGGAA